UGCAUUGGAUCAGAUUUCACCGAGCUCUUUACUGCCUCGACAAAGCUGUUGCCAAGUAAGAGGAAUUUCCCGGGGGGGGGGGGGGGGGGGGGGAGGAAGAAGGGGCUGGUAACUUGUGGCAGUCACUGCAGAUAUCCUAUAUUUUAAAUAGUGCUAAUCCACAAGCAAUUGAACAGUCAUUAAGAAACAGGGCCCAGUGAGUACAAAGAUGGGCAAAGGCGACACACUGGAGACCAUUUGGGUAGUGGGAUGGUGUCCAACAGGGGAAAUUAGUACUCUCUCUUCUCUAAGGACCCCUGGAUGUGUGGUGACUCCUAGGACAGAGAUUUCUCUUUUUUUUUUUUUUUUUUUGAGAUUUCUCAAACCUUUAAUAUUUCCUGGAAAAGAGAAGAGGUUGAGGGGGCUCUGUUUUCAGGGGAAGAACACCUCGCUGUACCAUAUUACCUAUAAUCGACGCCAAGAGAGUCGCAGGAGGAUGGAGGCAUGUGGAUGGCAGAGAACAUCCCUGGAGGUCCCAUCAUGCUGGAAAUGCUGAGAUGCAAUUUUGAAGCUGGACAAGCCCUUGAAGAACACAUGGACAAUGCAUUCAGUUGUGCAGGUGAAUAAGAAAGCUCAACAUUUCGUGUAUUUCUAUGUGACACUGUCCAAAUGUACUCUGAUAUGUCCAAAUGUUGCCACCUCCUGUGAAAGUCUUAUAUGAUAGGACUCAUAGUAACACAGUUCACAUGCAAAAAUAUUUUUCCUGUAUGGUUUUUCCUCUUAUAAACAGGAUGGCUUGAAAUUCAUUACAUCUAGAAGAAACUCUGAGCAAGGUGGCAUCAACAAAAUUAAAUCAUCUGCUUGGAAGCCAGGGACCAGCUUAUUAGAUAAUGGACACUAACCUGUGCACAAUGGAUUGAGAGUCAAUUUAUAUUGUCAAGUGGCCAAGGAAUAUAUUAUUUGGGGAGAAUUUUUAAGAAUAUAUUUUUAAAAAUAUCUGGUAAGUAUAAAAAUCAAGUAAAGAAGGUUUAGUUUGAAUUUUUACUUUGUAGUUUGCUUAUUGAAUGACCUUUUGGGAUAAGUAUUUUUCUCAUCCACCCUAGUCUAGUCUAUGGACUAGAACCCAAACAGCCCCCGCCUUUCUACUCAUGGACACCCAUGGAGUCAUAGUAAACUUAAUAUACUUCCCCCCAUCGCCCAGCAAAUGUGGAGGCAUUAGGAGUCCCUGAAGCAUUUUCUAUGUGCUUGCAUGUGUUUUUUUUCUUAUCCUACCCUCUGCCAUUGUCCUUCCUGCUCCCUACACUGACCACCAGAAGGAAAUAUCUGGGUAGCCACUGUUGCAGGCAUUCUGGGAGACAGUGCAGCAUCCAGACUUGGUGCUACCCUGGCGGGAGCUCUUAGGUACCAAAUAUGGCUCUUCUGGAUCCUCCUUGGUGCCUAGAACAAUGCUGUGUUCCCUUGCAGAAAUAUCCCCAUUCUCCAACUGCAUGAAUCUGAUCUCUUGGGUCCUAAAAGGAACCUUGACUUAUAUUGAGGUAGAAGUUCCUCAAGGAGAU
rnacentral:lncRNA from 12 species